rnacentral:rRNA from 1 species
UACGGAGGGAGCUAGCGUUGUUCGGAAUUACUGGGCGUAAAGCGCACGUAGGCGGCUAUUCAAGUCGGGGGUGAAAGCCCGGGGCUCAACCCCGGAACUGCCCUCGAAACUAGGUAGCUAGAAUCUUGGAGAGGCCAGUGGAAUUCCGAGUGUAGAGGUGAAAUUCGUAGAUAUUCGGAAGAACACCAGUGGCGAAGGCGACUGACUGGACAAGUAUUGACGCUGAGGAGCGAAAGCGUGGGGAGCAAACAGG